GGAGACAUGGGCAGAAACCACUCACAAUAUCACCUCCCACCAUUCUCUGAUUGACGUGGGCAGAAACUCCAAGUAUAUGAGCCACAGCAUACUCCAGCAGGCCUUACCCAAACCCUUUAGAGCUCAGGAGACCAAUACAAAAACUGGAGACUGCUGCAAAGCAAUGUGCUGGAGUAAGAAGAUGUUCCGAAAAAGCUGGUGCAAUGUUGUGUGGAGAAUCUCUGAAAAUAUCCCACAUACAUGA
rnacentral:lncRNA from 1 species